AAUCCAUGUUGAGGGUAGCAUCAAAUCAAAUCUUUAUACUUUUUCCCACGCUUCAUAGAGUGACUCAAAAUCAUUUUGCUUGAAUCGACCAAUCUCACUCCUAAGUUG